rnacentral:tRNA from 2 species
GUCUCCGUAGGUAAAUGGAUAUACCAACGCUCUCCUAAAGCGUAAUUGUGGGUUCGAUUCCCACCGGGGAUACCA